GCGGCCGCGAGCCCGCUCCCGCGCGCCCCCGUGUUCGCCGUUCCCGUGGCGCGGACAAUGCGGUUGUGCGUCCACGUGUGCGUGUCCGCUCGUGCAGUGCCGUUGUGGAGUCGCCUCGCUCUCCUCCUCCUCCCCGGCAGCGUUCCCACGGUUGGGGCCACCGGUGACCUCGCCCUCUUCGGGGCCUGGGGAUCCGGGUCUAGGUGGGAAUUGUUGACCUCGCUCUCGGGUGCGGCCUUUGGGGAACGGCGGGGUCGGUCGUGCCCGGCGCGUCGCCGGACGUGUGUCGGGGCCCACUUCCCGCUCGAGGGUCUUCGGCGGUGGCGGCGGCGUUGGUAGUCUCCCGUGUUGCGUCUUCCCGGGCUCCCUUGGGGGGGGUGCCGUCGUUUUCGGGGCCGGCUUGGCUUACGCAGGCUUGGUUUGGGACUGCCUCAGGAGUCGUGGGGCGGUGUGAUUCCCGCCGGUUUUGCCUCGCGUCUGCCUGGUCGUGUCUCGGAGCGGUGGUCUCUUCUCUCUCGGUCCCGGGAGAGGCGUCUUCCGGGGACGUUCCCGUCGCCCCUGCCGCCGCUGGCUCUCGUUCGGCUGUGUCGUUCCCCCUCCCCGUCUCGCCGUCGGUUCUCCCCGGUCGGUCGGCCCGGCCGUGCUGCCGGACCCCCCCUUCUGGGGGGGAUGGCCGGGCACGCACGCGUCCGGGCGGCCACUGUGGUCCGGGAGCUGCUCGGCAGGCGGGUGAGCCAGUUGGAGGGGCGUCAUGCCCCCGCGGGCUCCCGUGGCCGACGCGGCGUGUUCUUUGGGGGGGCCUGUGCGUGCGGGAAGGCUGCGCACGUUGUCGGUCCUUGCGAGGGAAAGAGGCUUUUUUUUUUUAGGGGGUCGUCCUUCGUCGUCCCGUCGGCGGUGGAUCCGGCCUGGCCGAGGUGCGUCUGCGGGUUGGGGCUCGUCCGGCCCCGUCGUCCUCCGGGAAGACGUUUAGCGGGUACCGUCGCCGCGCCGAGGUGGGCGCACGUCGGUGAGAUAACCCCGAGCGUGUUUCUGGUUGUUGGCGGCGGGGGCUCCGGUCGAUGUCUUCCCCUCCCCCUCUCCCCGAGGCCAGGUCAGCCUUCCGCCUGUGGGCUUCGUCGGCCGUCUCCCCCCCCCUCACGUCCCUCGCGAGCGAGCCGUCCGUUCGACCUUCCUUCCGCCUUCCCCCCAUCUUUCGCGCUCGUGGCCCGGGGUUUCACGGCGCCCCCACGCUCCUCCGCCUCUCGCCGUGGUUGGACGCCUGUCCGGUCUCCCGCCGACCCCGUUGGCGUGGUCUCGCUCCCGCCUGCUCUCGGUCUCCCGACCCCGCCCGGAGGGUUCGGGGUUCCGGUCCUCCCCGGCGUUGCGCCUCGCUGCCGUGUUUGGUGGGGGUUGGCCCGCUGCGGCCCCGCACCCGCUCACGAGCUCCGCCCGUGGCCCGCCGUCUGGCAUGGUUUCGCGACGCGGUCGGUAGGCCCGGUGUGACGCGUUAGGGAGGUGUGUCGUUCGUCCCGCGCCCGCGCGCGCGCGCGCGUGUGUGCUCCCUACGAGUUGUGGUGGUUUCGGUGAAUCGUCGCUCCCGCGGGCUCCCGCCGCAGGUCGUCGUCGUCGUUCUUCCUCUCACCCCACCCCACACACCCGGUGUUCCCCGACCCCGUGGCCCGGGCGGCCCGGCCGGCUUGUUGACGGCUCUCCCGAUGCCUGCCAGGCCCCGUGGAGAGAGGCGCGCGGCGGGGAAGGGGGGGAGAGAGAAGAAAGGAAAUGGGGGGGGGAAGAGUUUGGAUGGUGUGUUGCAGUCGGCGGGUAGGUUGGUUGGUUUGGUUGUGGUCGGUAAGGUGGCGCGACUGGGCCCGUCUGUCUGGGGGCCCUGCUCCCCGCGCCUCCUUUUCUGUGCCCUUCCUUCCUUCCUUCCUUGCCGCCACCGCCGCCUCCUGCCUCCCUCGCUUUUUUUUUUCUCUCUCUCUCGCCCUCUCCCCGUUCGAACGUCUCUCCUCCGCGUGGUGUCGGGUUCAGGUUUCGCUUGCACGCGC
rnacentral:misc_RNA from 1 species